CAGUACAUUGGCCAUUCAUCAAAGACGGCUAGGUAGAUAAACACCCACAUGCCUAGCAUAGCAGCGUUCCAGACGAUACAGACAGACUGCACGUACACAUCGGCGUUCAAGGUAUACUGACAGGGAGGCAAACAAGCACUCAGUCACAGCAGCCAUCUUCUUCCUUCCUGAGCUCUUCGAUGUAGAUUCCAGACGUCUCUACAUUAUGGACAAGAUUUCAUCCUCCCUACACCGCUGAUGAAUAUAACUGCAAACCUGUUCGAUCACCAUUCACUGCAAAAUCAUUCUUGCUAUGGAUACGAAGGAUAUCAACAUAUUAACACGCCAGAGAAAAUAUUGACUGAACUUGGAGCUCUGCUGGGAGUUGACCUAAUAUUUAUAUUUUUGAAUUCUGCUUUGCCACUAAAAUCAUAAUAAACAUUGACUACUAAACUAUUGUGUUAUUGUUAUGCUGAUUCAUAAUAUAAAUAAUGAGGGGAAACCCCAAAAGGUUAUUCAAGGAACCAUUAAAGUUUUUUUUUUAAGAACUUAGAGGUUCCCCCAGUUUCAAUUUGAAGAACCCCUAAAAGAUCUUCCAGGAACCAUUUCUUUUUAGAGUAUAAUACUUCUGACAGCCAACUUUAUAACUCCGCCCAUAGCUUCUGGACUUUAUAGCAUUCCCAGAAGGCAUGGAUUAUUGAGUCGUUGUUAGUUUUACACUUACGACAUGCCUCUGCCGUUGUGCUGUAGAAUUUGUGAAUUUU